rnacentral:tRNA from 1 species
GGGGGUGUAGCUCAGUGGUAGAGCACAUGCUUUGCCCCGGGUUCAAUUUCCGGCAUCUCCA